GACGAACGCUGGCGGCGUGCUUAACACAUGCAAGUCGAACGGUGAAGCCCUUCGGGUGGAUCAGUGGCGAACGGGUGAGUAACACGUGAGCAAUCUGCCCUUGACGUCUGGGAUAACUUUCGGGAAACCGGAGGCUAAUACCGGAUAUGACAUACGGCCGCAUGGUCUGUGUGUGGAAAGAUUUAUCGGUCAAGGAUGAGCUCGCGGCCUAUCAGCUUGUUGGUGGGGUAAGGCCCACCAAGGCGACGACGGGUAGCCGGCCUGAGA
rnacentral:rRNA from 1 species